rnacentral:rRNA from 1 species
UACAGAGGGUGCUAGCGUUGUUCGGAAUCAUUGGGCGUAAAGGGCGUGUAGGCGGUUUGUUAAGUCAUGUGUGAAAUCCCUCGGCUCAACCGGGGAACGACGCAUGAAACUGGCAAGCUAGAGUACCAAAGAGGGGGGUGGAAUUCCCGGUGUAGCGGUGAAAUGCGUAGAUAUCAGGAAGAACACCCGUGGCGAAAGCGGCUCUCUGGAACGGUACUGACGCUGAGACGCGAAAGCGUGGGGAGCGAACAGG